rnacentral:rRNA from 1 species
UACGAAGGGGGCUAGCGUUGCUCGGAAUGACUGGGCGUAAAGGGCGCGUAGGCGGCGGACACAGUCAGAUGUGAAAUUCCCGGGCUCAACCUGGGGGCUGCAUUUGAUACGUGUUUGCUUGAGUGGGGAAGAGGGUCGUGGAAUUCCCAGUGUAGAGGUGAAAUUCGUAGAUAUUGGGAAGAACACCGAUGGCGAAGGCAGCCAUCUGGACCGACACUGACGCUGAGGCGCGAAAGCGUGGGGAGCAAACAGG